GUUAUAUUUCUUCCCUAUUUAGUUGUUGUUAAUAAUAAAUGGUUCAGUUAGAUGUUUGAAUGUUUGUGAUUUUUGUUAUGUAUGAUUAGAGAUUUUGUGGAUCACUGGUUUUGGUUUUAUAAAUAUUCAGUUCUCGGAUUUGUGUAUAUAUACAUAUUUACGCAUCGUGGUUUUCUACCCCUCGAGGUAGUUGAUUUUCAAAAUAGAGUUUCCGAGUGGGAAACAGUUUUAAAAAGGUUUUCGAAUGGUUUUCAGGAAUGAAUGAAUUAGAGUUUAAAAACAAAGUUUCCGUGUGGGGAGCACUUUUAAAUAGGCUAUUUGUUGUAUUGUGCAUUUGCCACGCCCCGGAUGUCUCGUUCCCCGGGCACGCCGACAAAUCCGCCGUAUACAAAGAAAUUUUUCCUAUAUACGAAGCGACAGCUGUACCUGUAAAUCAAACACUACUACGAACAGUAGUAGAGAGCUGCUAGAGAAAACAGAAACUAAACAAACUGAGUUUCAUAUACAUAGUCCAAAUCCAAAAUACAGAGCUACUCGCACUGGCGAGUUAAGUCUACUAUGUACAGAAACUCGAAACAAAACAUCUACCUGCA
rnacentral:lncRNA from 1 species